CUAUUAUUAUUUUUUUGUUUAUUUUUCUGAGGUAUUUUAAUUACAUUCACGUGAUGUUAAGUAAUAACAAAGACUGUAAUGACAGUAUUUAGAUGAUUUAGAAGGUCUCUGCGUUACUGUGGCAAUUAAUGGCUAACUGGCUGUAAUAAAAUGAGGGAGGAACCAACAGAUUAUUCACUUAUGUGUAAAUGAUAUGGUGUUACUCAUGGCACAAUUCUUCAUGAGGGUGUGACAAACGUGAAAUAGAACAAGACGGGGGAAAGGUCGACAGGUUGCCGUAGUCGCAAUGCUAUGAUCUGGCGCAAAGUUCAUAGUUCACAAAUGGUUUGAAACCUGUUGAACGUUCACGUACGGUCUGCUUGAACCUGUCUGGCGUUUCUUCUUUGAUUUCGCCCGUUUAAAAAAUGAUUUAUUUAACUUACCCGCUCGCUGGAUGUUUUUAUGCGCCAACAAGGCCAUCCCUCAUAAACGUUAAAACUGUUGUGCCAAAAAUCAUAUUUUGUCUCCAUUUUGACGUUCGCCUUGAACACUUGGCCAUAUGUGCAUUCCUGUAUGCGAGUUGAUAUUGCUUUGACGAGCAGGUAUAAGCAGCUGUUUCUGAGUGAUGCAUCGCUAUCUGCAAGAAGGAAAAGCAGGUGAUCUGAUUGGUCCAUCAUGUGGGCUUGGGCAUUACUUCCUGUCACCCUGGCAGUGUUUGGGACUAUUGGGAUGUGGGCUGUGUAUGCCAUAGCUGUGUCUAAUAACACUGUUAAUAUAACCGAAGAAUUCCCUUUCAUCAG